UGGGGAAUUUUGGACAAUGGGCGAAAGCCUGAUCCAGCAAUGCCGCGUGUGUGAAGAAGGCCUUCGGGUUGUAAAGCACUUUUGUCCGGAAAGAAAUCCUUGGCUCUAAUACAGUCGGGGGAUGACGGUACCGGAAGAAUAAGCACCGGCUAACUACGUGCCAGCAGCCGCAGUAAUACGUAGGGUGCAAGCGUUAAUCGGAAUUACUGGGCGUAAAGCGUGCGCAGGCGGUUUGCUAAGACCGAUGUGAAAUCCCCGGGCUCAACCUGGGAACUGCAUUGGUGACUGGCAGGCUAGAGUAUGGCAGAGGGGGGUAGAAUUCCACGUGUAGCAGUGAAAUGCGUAGAGAUGUGGAGGAAUACCGAUGGCGAAGGCAGCCCCCUGGGCCAAUACUGACGCUCAUGCACGAAAGCGUGGGGAGCAAACAGGAUUAGAUACCCUGGUAGUCCACGCCCUAAACGAUGUCAACUAGUUGUUGGGGAUUCAUUUCCUUAGUAACGUAGCUAACGCGUGAAGUUGACCGCCUGGGGAGUACGGUCGCAAGAUUAAAACUCAAAUGAAUUG
rnacentral:rRNA from 1 species